UACGUAGGGUGCAAGCGUUGUCCGGAAUUAUUGGGCGUAAAGAGCUCGUAGGCGGUUUGUUGCGUCGGCUGUGAAAUCCCGAGGCUCAACCUCGGGUCUGCAGUCGAUACGAGCAAACUAGAGUGUUGCAGGGGAGACUGGAAUUCCUGGUGUAGCGGUGAAAUGCGCAGAUAUCAGGAGGAACACCGGUGGCGAAGGCGGGUCUCUGGGCCGAUACUGACGCUGGAGGAGCGAAA
rnacentral:rRNA from 1 species